rnacentral:rRNA from 1 species
CCUACGGGAGGCUGCAGUGAGGAAUAUUGGUCAAUGGGCGGAAGCCUGAACCAGCCACGCAGCGUGCAGGAUGACGGCUCUACGGGUUGUAAACUGCUUUUAUACGGGAAUAACGCGCCUUACGUGUAGGGCUUUGCAUGUCCUGUAUGAAUAAGGACCGGCUAAUUCCGUUCCAGCAGCCGCGGUAAUACGGAAGGUGCGCGCGUUAAUCGGAAUUACUGGGCGUAAAGCGCGCGUAUGCGGGAUGUCAAGUCAUGGGUGAAAUCCCCGGGCUCAACGUGGGAACUGCAUUUGAAACUGGCAAACUGGAGUGUGUGAGAGGAAAGUGGAAUUCCAGGUGUAGGAGUGAAAUCCGUAGAUAUCAGGAGGAACAUCAGUGGCGAAGGCGACUAUCUGGCACAUAACUGACGCUGAGGAGCGAAAGCGUGGGUAGCAAACAGGAUUAGAUACCCCUGUAGUC